AUCUUUAUUUUUUGCUAAGAUAGAUACCUGCUCCAUUUUUUGAUACUAUAUUUACAGCAUUGAGCUCUGUUAGUUUAGUAUUCAUUUUCUACUCAGAACACGGUCAGCAGCAGUAUUAGCAGAAAUAAACCUUCAUAAAGCCUUAAAUAUUUCUACAAGACGGAGUAUCACUGUGUUGCCAGGCUGGAGUGAACUGGCAUGAUCUCAGCUCACUACAACCUCCACCUCCCGUGUUCAAGCAAUUCUCCUGCCUCAGCCUCCCAAGUGGCUGGGACUAUAGGCACGUGCCACCACGCCCAGCUAAUUUUUGUAUUUUUAGUAGAGAUGGGGUUUCACCAUGUUGGCCAGGAUGGUCUCGAUCUCUUGACCUCAUGAUCUACCUGCCUCGGCCUCCCAAAGUGCUGGGAUUACAGGCGUGAACCACAGCACCUGGCCCCAACUGAAUAUUUUAAUGUACUACUUAUAUCCAGAUACUGUAACAAGUAUAGAGGAAGAGCAAUGAUUCAACAUCUCUACUUAGUAUGACUUAAAUAUUUAAAUUAAUUUUAAUAUUGAAUAGCUUCAAAUUAAUAUUUAUAAGAUUCACAAAAACAAUAAAGUUUCUAUAUUAAUAUCUAUA